rnacentral:rRNA from 1 species
GUGGGGAAUAUUAGGCAAUGGGCGAAAGCCUGACCUAGCAACGCCGCGUGAAGGAAGAAGGCCUUCGGGUUGUAAACUUCUUUUAUGAGGGACGAAGGACGUGACGGUACCUCAUGAAUAAGCCACGGCUAACUACGUGCCAGCAGCCGCGGUAAUACGUAGGUGGCGAGCGUUGUCCGGAUGUACUGGGUGUAAAGGGCGCGUAGGCGGACUGGCAAGUCAGAUGUGAAAUACAGGGGCCCAACCCCUGAACUGCAUUUGAAACUGUUGGUCUUGAGUAUCGGAGAGGCAAGCGGAAUUCCUAGUGUAGCGGUGAAAUGCGAAGAUAAUAGGAGUACCACCAGUGGCGAAGGCGGCUUGCUGGACGUCAACUGACGCUGAGGCGCGAAAGCGUGGGAAGAAACCAGGAUUAGAAACCCGUGUAGUCC